GUUGCCUUUACCUUCUGUUCUGGUACCACGUCUUCACUUGGGUGUCAGUGAGGUUGAGGGAGGCCGCCAGCUCCAUCCUGUCCUGCACGCUCAGGCCCUGGUGUUCUGUGAUCACUGCUGCAUUUUGGCUCGGUGUGGCUGGUGAUGGGAUGCAAAGGUCAUGGCGCUCGGAAGGAAGCUGUACUUGGUUCGAAUGUGAACACACGCUACGAGUUUCUGCUGGCAGGGAAGCGGAAAAGUGUCCUUCACUGCGGACUCCCCCUUGCACUGGGGAACGCCUGUUUCUUUCGCAGCUUGGCAGUUUUGAAAAAGAGAGGCAGGAUUUACAAAUGAAGGGGAAA